rnacentral:rRNA from 1 species
GACGAACGCUGGCGGCGUGCCUAAUACAUGCAAGUAGAACGCUGAAGGAGGAGCUUGCUCUUCUGGAUGAGUUGCGAACGGGUGAGUAACGCGUAGGUAACCUGCCUGGUAGCGGGGGAUAACUAUUGGAAACGAUAGCUAAUACCGCAUAACAGUAGAUGUUGCAUGACAUUUGCUUAAAAGGUGCAAUUGCACCACUACCAGAUGGACCUGCGUUUUAUUAGCUAGUUGGUGGGGUAACGGCUCACCAAGGCGACGAUACAUAGCCGACCUGAGAGGGUGAUCGGCCACACUGGGACUGAGACACGGCCCAGACUCCUACGGGAGGCAGCAGUAGGGAAUCUUCGGCAAUGGACGGAAGUCUGACCGAGCAACGCCGCGGGAGUGAAGAAGGUUUUCGGAUCGUAAAGCUCUGUUGUAAGAGAAGAACGAGUGUGAGAGUGGAAAGUUCACACUGUGACGGUAUCUUACCAGAAAGGGACGGCUAACUACGUG